CCGCAUGAGUGCAGGAAUGUUGUUAGUAGCUAUAUAUAGUGCCCUUUAGCAUUUUGGAUGUUUAAUUAGCUAGAGUACGUAUCCGUGUUAUGUGACUGCGCCUGUGCUCACAAGCUAACCUAGCUAGCUUCCGUACAACACUGACAACGUGCUAGUUUUAAAUAAGCUUAUCUGCACUAAAUAUAUAUAUAUUAAUUGUUUUUAUUUUAUAGCCAUUAAACGGCGAUCUUUGCUCAGUUAGGAGUGAGACUUUUACGUAUUUCCAAUGCGAGUUCAUCGCGCGAGCGCGGGAUUUUCAAACUUCAAAUAACCGACAUCAGCGUUGCCCCUCGGUCGGUUUGGAUGCGACGAGGAUUUUACGAGUCAGCGGCAUUUGUUCAGGUUGGUGCAAUAUUUUCUGACAUAUACUCUCCGUCCGCAGGUGUUAGAGCAGAGAACUACUGGAAACGGAAAACAGAAGUACAGAAACUUGCCCUAAUGGAAAGUGUCCCAUUCUAGAGCUGAGAAGAGACAGCAGGAAAGGGAAUCACCUGCUAGUGUCGCGUCCAAUGUCUACAUGUCCACAAGUUGUUGAGGAAAAAAUAAGUAGAUACGACUGUUGCACACAAAAGGCAAGAAGUCACCGAGUUCAAAACCAGAUGGCCUGCUGUCUUCUGUGUUUCUGAGA